AGAGUUUGAUCAUGGCUCAGGACGAACGCUGGCGGCGUGCUUAACACAUGCAAGUCGAACGGUGAAGCCUUUCGGGGUGGAUCAGUGGCGAACGGGUGAGUAACACGUGAGCAACCUACCCCUGACUCUGGGAUAACUUCGGGAAACCGGAGCUAAUACCGGAUACGAGUGCUGCACUCAUGUGCUGGUGCUGGAAAGAAUUUUGGUUGGGGAUGGGCUCGCGGCCUAUCAGCUUGUUGGUGAGGUAAUGGCUCACCAAGGCGACGACGGGUAGCCGGCCUGAGAGGGCGAUCGGCCACACUGGGACUGAGACACGGCCCAGACUCCUACGGGAGGCAGCAGUGGGGAAUAUUGCACAAUGGGCGAAAGCCUGAUGCAGCGACGCCGCGUGAGGGAUGACGGCCUUCGGGUUGUAAACCUCUUUCAGCUCCGAAGAAGCGAAAGUGACGGUAGGAGCAGAAGAAGCACCGGCUAACUACGUGCCAGCCGCCGCGGUAAUUC
rnacentral:rRNA from 1 species